ACAUGGGUGGUUCAGUGGUAGAACUCUUGCCUGCUGUGCAGGAGCCGGGCGGUCCGGGUUCGUUUCCCAGCCAAUGCA
rnacentral:tRNA from 1 species